rnacentral:rRNA from 1 species
UAAGCGUGCGCAGGCGGUUAUGUAAGACAGAUGUGAAAUACCCGGGCUCAACCUGGGAACUGCAUUAGUGACUGCAUAGCUGGAGUACGGCAGAGGGGGAUGGAAUUCCGCGUGUAGCAGUGAAAUGCGUAGAUAUGCGGAGGAACACCGAUGGCGAAGGCAAUCCCCUGGGCCUGUACUGACGCUCAUGCACGAAAGCGUGGGGAGCAAACAGGAUUAGAUACCCCGGU